rnacentral:SRP_RNA from 1 species
GUCGAGCUAAGUAACAAGAGCUUGUGACCCAAGUGGGGACAAUUAGAUGAUGGGACACUGGUUCGGUUUCACAGGUCGGUUCUGGUGUUGGCAUGUUUCCGAGCUGCCCAGUCCAAGCUGUGAGUAAUCCGUUUGGGUUGAGGCUUGGCUUGGCUUAGGCGGUUUCUAUAGUCGGAGGGUAAUGCGUGAGGCUGGUUUCACAGAGCAGCGACCACUUCUCGCUUACAGCAGUGGACGGAUUACGGCUCAGCGCCACCCAGAAUCACUAUGGCCUGCUGGUUCGAUCUCAGCUGAACCACCAUUUUU